rfam:Gossypium raimondii chromosome 2, whole genome shotgun sequence.
AUGUGAUGAGGGCACUUCUGUAAUAAUUCUUUGUACCUUUCUCAUGCCUCAUAGAAUGACUCAUCAUCUAUUUGUUGGAAAGCAUUGAUCUCGUUCCUUAACUU